rnacentral:rRNA from 1 species
CCUACGGGUGGCAGCAGUGAGGAAUAUUGGUCAAUGGGCGGAAGCCUGAACCAGCCAAGUCGCGUGAGGGAAUAAGGCCCUACGGGUCGUAAACCUCUUUUGCCGGGGAGCAAGGGCGGGGACGUGUCCCGUCCCGGAGAGUACCCGGAGAAAAAGCCUCGGCUAACUCCGUGCCAGCAGCCGCGGUAAUACGGAGGAUGCGAGCGUUAUCCGGAUGUAUUGGGUUUAAAGGGUGCGUAGGCGGGCUUUUAAGUCAGCGGUAAAAAUUCGGGGCUCAACCCCGUCCGGCCGUUGAAACUGGGGGCCUUGAGUGGGCGAGAAGAAGGCGGAAUGCGUGGUGUAGCGGUGAAAUGCAUAGAUAUCACGCAGAACCCCGAUUGCGAAGGCAGCCUUCCGGCGCCCUACUGACGCUGAGGCACGAAAGUGCGGGGAUCGAACAGGAUUAGAUACCCCAGUAGUC